CAGGUACUCCCUCCGUUCCAAAAUAGAUGACUCAACUUUGUACUAAAGUUAGUACAAAGUUGAGUCAUCUAUUUUGGAACGGAGGGAGUAUAUG
rnacentral:pre_miRNA from 1 species